GACGUAGGGGGCAAGCGUUAUUCGGAAUUAUUGGGCGUAAAGGGCGCGUAGGCGGUGCGGUAAGUCACCUGUGAAAUCUCCUGGCUCAACUGGGAGCUUGCAGGCGAAACUGCCGUGCUGGAGUGUGGGAGAGGUGAGUGGAAUUCCCGGUGUAGCGGUGAAAUGCGUAGAUAUCAAGUGGAACACCAGUGGCGAAGGCGAGUCUCUGGACAUUUCCUGACGCUGAGGCACGAAAGCCAGGGGAGCAAACGGG
rnacentral:rRNA from 1 species